UACGGGGGGAGCAAGCGUUGUUCGGAUUUACUGGGCGUAAAGGGCGCGUAGGCGGCGUGACAAGUCACUUGUGAAAUCUCCGGGCUUAACCCGGAACGGUCAAGUGAUACUGUCGCGCUAGAGUACAGAAGGGGCAACUGGAAUUCUCGGUGUAGCGGUGAAAUGCGUAGAUAUCGAGAGGAACACCUGCGGCGAAGGCGGGUUGCUGGGCUGAUACUGACGCUGAGGCGCGAAAGCCAGGGGAGCGAACGGG
rnacentral:rRNA from 1 species